UUCAUGUGAACCCUAAAUCCUAAUCAAGAAUCAUUAGAUUAAAUAUCCAAACAAUCAGCCAGAUCCCAAUGCAACAAAACAAAUUCCAAGAAAGGGGAUCGAGAACAGAAACCGUAAGAACAUAUAAAUCAAGAACCCUCAUGGAUUUUUUUAUUUUUUUUUCCAUUUUUUUUACAAUUAACAAGUAACCAAACAAAUUUGAGAACCUAAAAUUAAGAAUCACCCAACCAAACUUCAGAUUCAUAAUAUAUUUUCUCAGCAUCCAAACAGAGGAUAAUGCAACACAUGAAGAAAUAAAGACGCAAAUGAAGAAAAGAAAGGGGAUUGAGAAAACAGACGAUGGUGGGUUUGAACUCCUUGAGCUUCUGCAGCUUCUUCAACUCCAUCUGAAGCUUGUCUUGCUCUCGGCCCUUCAUUGCGAGAUCUUCCUCCUUGGUCUUCAAGAUCUCAUCCUUCUCCUUCAGGAGCUCCAAGGUUUUCUCCUUCUCGAGUUUCAUCGCUUGCAGCUUCUCUUGCAUUUCUUCGAGUUCUUUCUCGAAUGACUACGGUUGGGUCUUCUUCUGCUUGGCCUGUUUCUUAGAAGCCGCAACUUUGGCCGACUUCUUGGGGGAGGUUCGAGUCUGAGAGAGGCUUGCUUGGUUCUCCUUCGUUGGGUUGGAGUCCGAUGGUGUUUGGAUCGGGCUUGGAGCGGCGUCAGAGACCUUUCCUGCGAGGAUAUUGGCUGCAUUUCCAGAUGGGUUUUUGUCCUUGAGUGCCCUUCGGAUGGCCCUUGGCUUCCUGUUGGGCAUUUCGGCGAUUGCGGUGUCAUCCAUGGCAGAGAGAGAGAGGUCAGAGGUCGGCGAUUGCGGGAUCCCAGCUAUUCCAUACAAUCUACUUUUGGAUCCCUCACGUGCAGGCUAACGGAAAAGGACGAAAGUUAAGUUUUGGGGUUGAAAUCCGAAUAGACUUUACCACGAAUCCGAAUGUUUUUACUACAUGGUCUAUCAUCUGAAUACCUUAAGACCACGAGGACUAUUUAUCCAAUUUAGCCAUAAAAUUUUGAUGGAUAUUUUGGAUAAACCACCAAUUAAACUUUGAGUUUUGAGCCUCUUCCCCCUUUAUCUUGCGUCUCAUCUCUUCUUGGAAUGGGACUGUGGUCCGUGUGAAUUAACCCUACGAUGACUCCAUAGAUAGGAGCUGACAAUUGACUUGACUUGGCUGCUUCUUUGCUCCUCUGUGUGCAACUUCAGAAUUCUUGUGUUCACUUCUAUAAAAAGCACUUUAGUUAGUCAUCUUCAUCCAUUAGCUGACAUGUAACUACUACAAAAUGAAGACAUCUUUUCCUUCACGAUUAAAGGUUUUACACGGCAUGUUUUCUUUAAACAUAGCUGCACCUGCACCAUCUUUCAAACAUGGCUGCUGCUUUUGACAUUAAUAUAGUUAAGCAUAGCUGCUGUGUAGCAUCCUUGGAUUCCUUGCAUAGAUGUUGCCUUAGGAGACGAUUUGAGGAGGAGGGACCAACGAGUUCUUGUUGGCUUCUGCUUUCUCUGUUUCCUUUUGAAUUUCAGAAAAGCCUUUUCCACGGGGUUAGAAUCCCACUCCAAACCUUUUACCUUUUCUUUAAAAUUCAAUUAACUAUUUUGGAAUCACAUACACAUGCAUCUUUUUGGGAUGGAUGAGUUUCACCUUUCCAAGAGUUUUAAUGCUUUUAACAACCUUGACAGCACAUCUGUGAAAUCUCAUCCCCGGAAUUUCAUUAUUUAAGUACGUAUCUCCUUUUUUUUUUCUUUCUAAUUUUGUAUUUUGUAUUUAUGUUAUUUUUAUUUUUAUUUCUGUUAAUUUUAGAAUUUGAAUCGUAUAGUUAUAAGGUAUGAUUUUUCGUAAUUAAUCUUUUAAUAUAUGUAUACGUUUCGAGAUCACAAUUAAUGUUUUUGAACAAAGCUUGAUUCCACGAACGCAUAGCCGAAAGGGGUUUGUGAAUCGAAGUUAUGUUGAAGUCAUUUAUUGGGAAGGAUCCAUGAGAGAGGGGAUAGCCCCAUUUAUUGGGGGAAAGAACCAAUGAGAAGGGGGAGAGAAGGCCCAGUUGGCGAAUCCCACACAUGACCCGCGUGCCUGGUCUCUAAUCCGGUUCCUACACCAAAUUUUUCGAUUCCACUCAGCGGCUUCCCAUCUUGCAAUUCCAUAUCAACUCGAGUCGAUUUGGUCCUGGUUUCAUGAUGCACAGAGUCGUUAGGGUUCGCAAGCGCACCGCGAGUAUCUCACCGUUGCCGUGACUUUCGUCAUCGUCCAUCACCAUAAUCUAACUCCUCUCGACAUUAGGAGCAAGAUCCAAGCAAGGAUCGAAGCAUUGGAGGUCGGGUGACGUUGAAUCAACGAUCACCUAUUUCUAGGGUUUUCGGUGAACCAUGUCGAAAUUCAGGUGUUUUAUGACUGAAUUGGACCUGAGUCUAGGUAUGAAAAUUCAUCCUUGUGACUUGUUCUACCAGCUUGUGCAAUUUGGGGACGAUCGAAGAUGGUCAGGAACUCAGGUUUCCGUUCAUCGAAAUUGCCGCGAGAUUGAUAAUCCUAGUUGUCAUAUGUAUCCGUUGUAUAGUCUGGAAUCUAGUGAAUCAUGUCGAGUUCUAGAAACUAAAUGAUUCUGAAUCUCUAUUUGUCUGCUAGAAAGUGCCAUGAGGAUUGUCGGAUUUUAGAAAAAAAGGUGAAUUACGAAUAGCUUGAUCGCAUCUGAGAGUACGUAGACAGUCUAACAAGAAAGUUAGAUGCAACCAUGUGAUAAAAGAAAUGUUACUACAUUAUUGAUUCAUUGAGUUGCAUUUGGACAUGUCUCGGCGAUGAGGCAUGAAAGAUGGAACAGUUCUGUAAUGAUACCAUGUGUCGAUCCUGAACGUAUCUUGAAAUCGUGGCGUGACAAUUUUAAUGGUAUUAGAGCUUAAGUAUUAGAUUCUAGAACUAGACCUUGUUUUAAUGCUGCAAAUUGUGUCAUGAGAUUGGCAUAUAGCGCUAUUACUUGUAUGUAGAGAGAAAGACUUUUCAUUCAAUCAUGGAUAUUGAUUAUGGUAAAUUGAUUCGUGUUUAUACUGUCGAGUUCUUAUUCCACGUGACAUUUAUUGUGUUGCGAGGACUCAUAAUUCUGUUGCUGAAAUGAUUAUGAAUAUGUUGUGAACUGAAAUUCAGAAUAAUUAAAUUGGAUAAUAGUGGGCUCUGCGAAUGGUUUCAAAAGAAGGUACUAAAAAAUUCGAGGAUAAUUUUUUGUAAGGAGCAUUUUUACUCACCAUCCUAUUUAUCAUCGUUAGAUGAAUUUGAAUUUCGAGAUUUGUGUAGUUGAUAAGCAUAAAUCUCAAAAUUCAAACUUAUCUAACGGUAAUAAAUAUAAGGGAACUUUAACGAAAAGCACCCGGUACUGUUCACUUUAACGAAAAGCAACCGGUACUGUUCACUUUAAUGGUGAGCAUACACCACAUAAAUGGUGAUGAGCAAAAAUGCACUCUUUUUUGUAAGGGGGAAGGAUGUGAAAUCCCGUCUACAAAAUUUCAUAUUUAAUUACGUAUCUUUUUUUUUUAAUUUCAUAUUUUGUAUGUACAUUAUUCUUAUUUUAAUUUUAAAAUUUGAAUCGUAUAAUUACAACGAAUGAAUUUUUGUAAUUAAUCUUUUAAACUCUGUAGGCAUUUUAAGGUCACAAUUAAUGUUUUUGAAUAGACCUCGAUCCCACGAGCUCAUAGCCGAAAGUCGUUCGCGAACCGAAACUAUAACGAAGAAUUUACAAGCAAUGGAAGUCAGACAUAAAAUAAUUUAGGAGUUUCUAUAAGAGCACUUCCAGCGUUGGCUGGUGCUCGGGGGACAGGCAGCAAAAAGGGCCUGAGAGCCCGAGUUAUUGGCUCCAGCGUGUGGGAACCCAAGGGACAGGGCAAGCCAGAGUAACAUGCAUGUCACGAAUUGCCAGCCCGAGAGCCCGAAGGCAACGUGACGUGGGCUGACGUCAGCCAUAAUAUAAAAUUAAUAAAAAUAUAAAAUAUUAAUAAAAUAAAAAGAAAAAUUAAAAAAAUUGUAAAACCCAGGCUUUGAACUCAACGACUUUUGCUGGAGUUCAUCGUCGAGGUUGAUGAACACCCACAGACAAAUGGCAGAGAUCCAGUCCCUCCUCCGUCGUAGCUGCCGCCGCACCCCACACCGCCUUCGCCCCCACGCACUCGCGAUCCUCCUCCUCCCACUGGCGAGCCCAGAUCGCACGAUUUGGGAUUUUUUUUUGGGGGGGAGGAGAGAGAGAGAGAGUUUGGUUAUGGAGCGGGGAAGAUCGGGAUCGUUGAUGGAGGCUGAGGUGGGUGGGAUGGUGAAGAUGGAGGAAGAGAGGUGGCGGUGGGGUGGUGAAGAUGGAGGAAGAGAGGCGAGGGGGUGCGUUUGGGGGGAGGACACAGGUGGAAAUGAAAGGCUUUUGGAAUGGUGCGUUGGCACCAUCUAAAAAGAAGAAGAAAAAGAAGGGCUUUUGGAUUGGUGCGUUGGCACCAUCUGAAAAGAAUAAGAAAAAGAAGUGGUGCGUUGGCACCAUCUGAAAACAAGAAGAAAAAAUGUUUGCCAAAAAAAAAGAAGAAGAAGAAGAAAUAAUAAUAAUAAUAAAAGUUUUGGAAUGGUGUGCUGCACCAUGUGAAAAGAAAAAAUAAAAAUGAUUUUUAAUAGAAAAUUGUAUAACGAGACUGAUUAAAAAUUCUAUCUGAAAUUACAAAUAAAAUUAUUUUGUAUUAUUGCCAGGGGGAGGGCUCCCACGCUGGAGAUGCAAAGGGCAGUUACUGUUCAUUAAGGGCAAUUAUUGUUCAUUGGGUGGAUUGAAUAGUGAAUUGCCUGUGGGAAGGGCUCCUACGCUGGAGUUGCUCUAAAGGGGUUGGAGA
rnacentral:lncRNA from 1 species